rnacentral:lncRNA from 1 species
GUGGCUCUGGGGUUAGCCUGGACAGCCUAGACAGCCUCCGGGUCACAGAGUGGGUCACAGAGUAGGGUGGAGGGUAACAGAAGAUUCUGAUCCCAGUAGCACACCAGGCCCAAGCAUGUGUCACUUGCGGAGAUCAAACAUCAUUUCCGCAGCUCACAGUGGGAAAGCUAGAGGCGCCAACGCAUGACCUCCAGGAUGAAUUCUGGAAAGUGCAAGCAUCUGAACAGUAAGCAGUGGGCAGAAGGAGCAGAGAGAGAGAGAGAGAGAAUCCUUAAGCAGACUCCCCAAAGAGCAUGGAGACGGACAUGGGGCUCGAUCCUAGGACCCUGAGAUCAUGACCUGAGCUGAAACCAAGAGUUGGAUGGCCAACCGACUAAGCCGCCUAGGCACCCCGAUAAAAAUAUUUUAAACCCAC